AUGUUCCUCGCUUGCCCUGGCUUCUGGGUCCUCGUGGUCCUAGGCACCAGCUGGGCAGGCUGGGGGAACCUAGGGGCUGAAGCAGCGAGGCUAAGGCAGUUCUACGUAGCUGCUCAGAGCAUCAGAUGGAACUACCGACCCGAGUCCACACACCUUAGUUCGAAACCUUUUGAAACCUCCUUUAAGAAAAUUGUCUACAGGGAGUAUGAAGCAUAUUUUCAGAAAGAAAAACCACAAUCCAGAACUUCAGGACUUCUUGGGCCUACUUUGUAUGCUGAAGUUGGAGACAUCAUGAAAGUUCACUUUAAGAAUAAAGCACACAAGCCCUUAAGCAUCCAUCCUCAAGGAAUUAAGUACAGUAAAUUCUCAGAAGGUGCGUCUUACUCUGACCACACACUCCCCAUGGAGAAGAUGGAUGAUGCUGUAGCUCCAGGCCAAGAAUAUACCUAUGAGUGGAGUAUCAGUGAGGACAGUGGGCCCACCCACGAUGACCCUCCAUGCCUCACACACAUCUAUUAUUCCUAUGUAAAUCUGGUAGAGGACUUCAACUCUGGAUUGAUUGGACCUCUGCUUAUUUGUAAGAAAGGCGCCCUAACCGAGGAUGGAAUUCAGAAAAUGUUUGACAAGCAACAUGUACUGAUGUUUGCUGUGUUUGAUGAAAGUAAAAUCUGGAACCAGACAUCAUCCUUAAUGUACACAGUCAAUGGCUAUGUGAAUGGGACGAUACCAGAUAUAACAGUCUGUGCCCAUGACCACAUCAGCUGGCAUCUGAUUGGAAUGAGCUCUGGGCCAGAACUGUUCUCCAUCCAUUUCAAUGGUCAGGUCCUGGAGCAGAACCGUCGUAAGAUCUCAGCCAUCACUCUCGUCAGCGCCACGUCCACAACUGCGAACAUGACCGUGAGCCCUGAGGGAAGGUGGACCAUAGCUUCUCUCAUCCCCAAACAUUUUCAAGCUGGGAUGCAGGCUUACAUAGACAUUAAAAACUGUGCAAAGAAAACCAGAAAUCCUAGGAAACUAACUCGAGACCAGAGGCGGCACAUUAAGAGGUGGGAAUACUUCAUCGCUGCAGAGGAAGUCAUUUGGGACUAUGCACCUAUAAUACCAGCAAGCAUGGACAAAAAAUACAGAUCUCUGCAUUUGGAUAAUUUCUCAAACCGAAUUGGAAAACAUUAUAAGAAGGUUGUCUACAAACAGUACCAAGAUGACUCCUUCACCAAACGCCUGGAGGAUCCCAGUAGCGAAGGAGAUGGGAUCUUGGGCCCUAUUAUCAGAGCCCAGGUCAGAGACACACUGAAAAUCGUGUUCAAAAAUAUGGCCAGCCGCGCCUACAGCAUUUACCCUCACGGUGUGACCUUCUCUCCUUAUGACGAUGAAGUCAAUGCUUCCUCAACCUCAGGCAGCAACACCAUGAUCAGAGCAGUUCAACCAGGGGAAACCUACACUUAUAAGUGGAACAUCCUAGAAUCUGAUGAACCCACAGAAAACGAUGCUCAGUGCUUAACAAGACCAUACUACAGUAAUGUGGAUGUCACAAGGGACCUUGCUUCUGGACUGAUAGGGCUUCUUCUAAUUUGUAAGAGCAGAUCCUUGGAUAAACGAGGCAUACAGAGGGCAGCAGACAUUGAGCAGCAGGCUGUGUUUGCUGUGUUUGAUGAGAACAAGAGCUGGUACAUUGAAGAUAACAUCUACAAGUUUUGUGAAAAUCCUGAGAAGGUGAAACGUGAUGACCCCAAGUUUUAUGAGUCAAACAUCAUGAGUACUAUUAAUGGCUAUGUGCCUGAGAGUAUACCCACAUUAGGGUUCUGCUUUGAUGACACCGUCCAGUGGCACUUCUGCAGUGUGGGAACCCAGAAUGACCUUUUGACCAUUCACUUCACUGGGCACUCAUUCAUCUAUGGAAAGAGGCACGAGGACACCUUGACCCUUUUCCCCAUGCAGGGGGAGUCCGUGACUGUCACAAUGGAUAAUGUUGGAACUUGGAUGUUAACCACCAUGAAUUCCAACCCAAGAAGCAAAAAACUACGGCUGAGGUUCAGGGAUGCUAAGUGUAUCCGGAAUGAUGAUGAUGACUCCUAUGAGAUUAUAUAUGAACCUUCAGGAUCUACAGCCAUGACUACAAGGAAAAUGCAUGAUUCUUCAGAAAUCAAAGAUGAAAAUGAUGCUGACUCUGAUUACCAGGAAGAACUGGCUUCAAUUCUAGGUCUUAGGUCAUUCAGAAAUUCAUCACUGAAUCAGGAGAAAGAUGAGCUCAAUCUUACCGCCCUAGCUCUGGAGAAAGACUCUGAAUUCAUUCCUCCAAGUACCAACAGAGAUCUUGGUUCAAAUUCUUCUUCCCCAAGAAAUGUUAGCAGGCUUAUUGCCAACAACUUUGCAGAACCUCUGAAAACUCUUCUGCACCUGGAAGCCCCUGCGGCUGGUCCCGCGCUGGAACACGCUGGCUUAGAUAAGAACUCAACUCUCAACCCUCCCAUGGCAGAGCAUUCCAGCCCUUAUUCUGAAGACCAUAGAGAAGAUCUUCCACUCUCAGAUGUCACAGGGAUAAGCCUACUUCCAUUUGGCACAGGAUUCAAAAAUCAAAAACCUGCCAAACAUCAAAGAUUCCAGGUAGGAAGAGGCCGAGCAGCAAAGCACAGGUUCUCCCAGACAGAAUCCCCAGCACAUAAAACCAGGACACAUUUAAGCCAAGACAACUCUUCUUCUUCCAGAAUGGGGCUCUGGGAGGACAUUCCCAGUGAUCUGUUACUCUUACAACAAAAGGAUCCAUCUAAGAUUCUGAAUGGAGAAUGGUAUUUGGUUUCUGAGAAAGGCAGUUAUGAAAUAAUCCAAGAUGCUAAUGAAAACAAGACUGUUAAUAAGUUGCCAAACAGCCCCCAGAAUGCCUCAAGGACUUGGGGAGAAAACAUCCCUUUCAAAAACAGUCAUGGAAAGCAGAGUGGCCACCCAACAUAUUUGGUAACUAGACGUAAACCUCUACAAGACAGACAGGAUAGAAGAAAUAGUAGAUUGAAGGAAGGCCUUCCAUUAAUUAGGACACGAAGAAAGAAAAAGGAAGAGAAGCCUGCAUACCAUGUUCCUCUAUCUCCAAGGAGUUUUCAGCCUCUGAGAGGAGAGGUCAAUGACUCAUUUUCAGACAGAAGACAUAAUCAUUCAUUGUUACUCCAUGCGUCCAAUGAAACAUCUCUUUCCAUAGACCUCAAUCAGACAUUCCCCUCUAUGAAUCUUAGCCUUGCAGCCUCACUUCCUGAUCAUGACCAGACCUCACCAAAUGACACCAGUCAGACUAGCUCCCCUCCAGAUCUUUAUCCGACAGUGAGCCCAGAGGAACGCUAUCAAACAUUCCCUAUUCAAGACUCUGAUCCAACACAUUCUACUACAGCCCACAGUAACAGAUCUCCUCCCACACAGCCCAGCCAGAUACCCAACUAUGACCUAAGAAACCAGGCCAUCCCUACUGAUGUGAGUCAAAUUUUCCCUUCCUUGGAACCUGAAGUCUGGCAGACAGCUACCUCUCUAGACCUCAGUCAACCAUCCAUCUCCCCAGACCUUGGCCAGAUGGCCCCUACCCCAGACCUUGGCCAGGAGUCUCUCUCUCCAGACCUUGGCCAGAGGGGCCUCUCUCCAGACCUCAGCCAGGAGUCUCUCUCUCCAGACCUUGGCCAGACGGGCCUCUCUCCAGACCUCAGCCAGGAGUCUCUCUCUCCAGACCUUGGCCAGACGGGCCUCUCUCCAGACCUCAGCCAGGAGUCUCUCUCUCCAGACCUUGGCCAGACGGCCCUCUCUCCAGACCUCAGCCAGGAGUCUCUCUCUCCAGACCUUGGCCAGACGGCCCUCUCUCCAGACCUCAGCCAGGAGUCUCUCUCUCCAGACCUUGGCCAGACGGACCUCUCUCCAGACCUCAGCCAGGAGUCUCUCUCUCCAGACCUAGGCCGGACAGCCCUUUCUCCAGACCUCAGCCAGGAGUCUCUCUCUCCAGACCUUGGCCAGCUUGAUCUCAAGCAGACAUCACCUCCUCUAGAUCUUGAUCAGACAUCCCACACUUCUGAAUCAAGUCAGUCAUUGUCUCUUCCAGAAUUUGGUCAGACUUUCCCUUAUGCAGAUAUUGGUCAGAUGCCAUCUCCUCCACCAGACUCCACACUAAAUAACACUUUUAUACCAGAAGAAUUUAAUCCACUGGUUGUAGUAGGCCUCAGUAGAGAUGAUGGAGAUUAUAUUGAAAUUAUUCCAGGGCAGAAGGAAGAGAGCAGUGAAGAAGACUAUGGUGAAUUUGAAUUUGUAGCCUAUAAUGACCCUUACCAAACUGAUCUUAGGACAGAUAUCAGCUCCUCCAGAAAUCCUGACAACAUUGCAGCAUGGUACCUCCGCAGCAACAAUGGAAACAGAAAAAAUUAUUACAUUGCAGCUGAAGAAAUAUCCUGGGAUUAUUCAAAAUUUGUGCAAAGUGAAGACACUGAUGAUGUUCCAGAGCACACCGUAUUCAAGAAAGUAGUUUUCCGAAAGUACCUUGAUAGCACUUUUACCAAACUUGAUCCUCAGGGGGAGUAUGAAGAACAUCUUGGCAUACUUGGUCCAGUCAUUAGAGCUGAAGUGGAUGAUGUUAUACAAGUUCGUUUUAAAAAUUUAGCAUCCAGACCAUAUUCUCUUCAUGCCCAUGGGCUUUCCUAUGAAAAAUCAUCAGAAGGAAAGACUUAUGAAGAUGACUCUCCUGAAUGGUUUAAGGAAGACAAUGCUAUUCAGCCCAAUAGCACUUAUACCUAUGUAUGGCACGCCACUACACGAUCCGGGCCAGAAAACCCUGGAUCUGCCUGUCGGGCUUGGGCCUACUACUCAGCAGUGAACCCAGAAAAAGAUAUCCAUUCAGGCUUGAUAGGGCCUCUUCUGAUCUGCCGGAAAGGGACACUUCAUAAGGAGACCAACAUGCCUGUGGACAUGAGAGAAUUUGUCCUACUUUUUAUGGUCUUUGAUGAAAAGAAGAGCUGGUAUUACGACAAGAAGCCCACAAGGUCUUGGAGACACACAUCCUCAGAAGUCAAAAACUCCCAUGAGUUUCAUGCCAUCAAUGGGAUGAUCUACAACUUGCCUGGCCUGAGAAUGUACGAGCAAGAGUGGGUGAGGCUGCACCUGCUGAACUUAGGCGGCUCCCGAGACAUUCACGUGGUUCACUUUCAUGGCCAGACCUUGCUAGAAAACGGCACUCAACAGCACCAGUUAGGGGUUUGGCCCCUUAUGCCUGGUUCAUUUAAAACUCUUGAAAUGAAGGCAUCAAAACCUGGCUGGUGGCUCCUAGACACAGAAGUUGGAGAAAUUCAGAGAGCAGGAAUGCAGACACCAUUUCUCAUCGUAGACAGAGAAUGUAAGAUGCCAAUGGGACUAAGCACUGGCCUGAUAGCUGACUCACAGAUCCAGGCUUCUGAGUUUUGGGGUUAUUGGGAACCCAAAUUAGCAAGAUUAAACAAUGGUGGAUCAUACAAUGCUUGGAUUGCAGAAAAACUUUCAACAGAAUUUAACCCUCAGCCUUGGAUCCAGGUAGACAUGCAAAAGGAAGUCCUGCUCACAGGGAUCCAGACCCAGGGCGCCAAACACUACCUGAAGCCCUACUACACCACCGAGUUCUGUGUGGCUUACAGCUCUGAUCAGAAAAACUGGCGGAUCUUCAAAGGGAACAGCACAAAGAAUGUGAUGUAUUUUGGUGGCAAUUCAGAUGCUUCUACAAUCAAAGAGAAUCAGAUUGACCCACCUGUUGUGGCUAGAUACAUUAGGAUCUCUCCAACUAGAUCCUAUAACAAACCUGCCCUUCGAUUGGAACUGCAAGGUUGUGAGGUUAAUGGAUGCUCCACACCGCUGGGUAUGGAAAGUGGAAAGAUAGAAAACAAGCAAAUCACUGCUUCUUCUUUUAAAAAGUCUUGGUGGGGAAAUUACUGGGGACCCUUCCUUGCUCGUCUUAAUGCCCAGGGCCGUGUAAAUGCCUGGCAAGCUAAGGCAAACAACAACAAUCAGUGGUUACAAAUUGAUCUGCUCAAAAUCAAGAAGAUAACUGCGAUUGUAACACAAGGUUGCAAGUCUCUGUCCUCUGAAAUGUAUGUGAAGAGCUACACCAUCCACUACAGUGACCAGGGCAUGGACUGGAAACCUUACAGGGAGAAAUCCUCCAUGGUGGACAAGAUUUUCGAAGGAAAUAAUAAUGUCAGAGGACAUGUGAAGAACUUUUUCAGCCCACCAAUCAUCUCCAGGUUUAUACGCAUCAUUCCUAAAACAUGGAAUCAGAGUAUUGCACUUCGUUUGGAACUCUUUGGCUGUGAUAUUUACUAGAAUUGAAUAUUUUAAAAGAUAGGAGGGACUUAACGAUAUCAAACCACUCAGAGUGGGCAAUGCAUUUUGUAGCUAUUUUAAGUAUUAAAAAUUUUCCAUUAUUUCUCUUUUUUCUAUUAGAGAAUAAAAUUUUAUAUGUGAAACCUUUAUGAUAUAACUCCUGAUAACCACUAAGUAAGAUGAUGACUAUUAUUUCUGCAUUAAUUUGAAUAUAGAUAGGAAAACACCAAGAACCAACAAGAAAAGGCUUUUAUUUCACUGAUU
rnacentral:lncRNA from 1 species